UGUGCAUGUGCGAAAUUCGUUUCGUUUGUUAUAAACACAACCAGACGUUGGACAGCUAAUGGGAAUUGAGAUGGCAAGAUAAUGACAAUUUUACUCCUCGAUAGUCCAUUUGUCAGAAGAAAUAUGCGUCUUAGCUAGACAUUUGGAAAUCCAGCGUAAAACUAGUCAACAGCCACGACAGGGCGCAGCCAUUUUUGAAUGUUCCAACUAAAUCGUGAAAAACGUGGAGAAUAAAACGUAUAUAUUUCUAUCUGUUAGUUUUUUGCUCUUCACUGAACUUAUGAGUUGUAUGGUAAAACAAUAAAUAUAAUUAGUCAAUGCAUAAUAAAUUGCUGUGCUUAUAACAAAUCCAGCGCAGCGAAAGCAGAAUGUUUUUUAAUUGCCAAACCAUUUCACACCAUUUGUUCUCGCAAUAGUACAGUCAGGGGCAACAUGGCGCUUGGCAGGGUCGGCGGCUGCAUCUGAAUACUGCUUCACGAUUGUCCCUCAAAAGGAUUACUUUGUGGCCGCAUACAAUCGGACUGUAUGGCAUGCCGAGUAGGAGGUAUAUUAAUAACUUAUUUUAUGGUUAUGGUGCAGUACCUUGUCGACAAACCACCACACGAGGAAUCUGUCUCAAUCAAUGUCACUGUUGCUGUGACAGCGGUUGAGAUGUCUUUUCUUGUCCGGUUUUAAUAUUUAGCCUGGAACUAUUUCAAAUUUCUAUACGAAUUUGUAAUGCAUGCACUCAAUUUCCACAAGUUGUUCAGCUCCAUGGGCAAGUACAGUACCACAGUACUCCUGUCAGAGACGGUCGAGAAUAUCUAGUCUAAUAUCAUCUCUGCUCCUGUUGCUCCAUUCAUUUCAGCAAAAAGGCAUCUAUUGUCAGAGGAUGUUGUCAAACUACAAGAAUUUCAGCUUCGGAAACAGGCAGUGGCUAAUCAGGUGUCCGGAUCAAAAAGUUGGCUACUCAAGUUUUAAUGUGACAUGGACAAGUACAGUGACAUGCCUCUCUUGCAAGCUCCAAAUACAACAAUGCAGUAAAUGCAGCACUAAACACAAGGUAGAACAUAGUGUUAUUUUUGGGUAUUGUGAACAAAAACACACAAGAAAUUAAAAUAAGAACACAAGAAAGUAAGAAUCGAUAUACAGGGUCAGUCACAAUACCAUAUUUACAUUGUGCAGGGGAUACUGGAGUGAUAGAGGUAGAUAUGUAUAGGCGUAAGGCGACUAGGCAAAAGGGUAUAUGAUAAACAGCUUGUCGGUUGUAAGAAAUGAUAGCAGAUACAUUUUGUUAAAAUAAAGUAAAGACAAACGCAAAAAAGAUUAAACUUGGGUUAGCUAACACAACGUGCCAUUGGAACACAGGAGUGAUUGUUCCUGAUAAUGGGCCUCUGAACACCUAUGUAGAUAUUAUAUUAAAAUAUCAGUCAUUUCCAGCUACAAUAGUCAUUUACAACAUUAACAAUGUCUAUAUUUCUGAUCAAUUUGAUGUUAUUUUAAUGGACAAAAAAAUGUGCUUUUCUUUCAAAAACAAGGACAUUUCUAAGUGACCCCAAACUUUUGAAUGGUAGUGUAUGUGUUUAAUCUAUCUAUCUAUCUAUCUAUCUAUCUAUCUAUCUAUCUAUCUAUCUAUCUAUCUAUCUAUCUAUCUAUCUAUCUAUCUAUCUAUCUAGAUAUUUGCAAAUAUAUCUAUCGAUCGAUAGAUAGUUUGAUAGAUAUAUUUGCAAAUAUCUAGAUAUAAAUAUUUGCAAAUGUAUUAAUGAAGCAUAGUGGUGGCAGCAUCAUGCGGUGCAGAUGUUUUUCAGCGCAGGUACUGGGAGACUAGUCAGGAUUGAGGGAAAGAUGAACGGAGCAAAGUACAGAGAGAUCAUGAAAACCUGUUCCAGAGCGCUUAGGACCUCAGACUGGGUCGAAGAUUCACCUUUCAACAGGACAAUGACCCUAAGAACACAAUGCAAGUGUGCCUUUGGGACAAGUCUCUGAAUGUCCUUGAGUGGCCCUACCAGAGCCUGGACCUGAACCCGAUCGAACAUCUCUGGAGAGACCUGAUAAUAUCUGUGCAGCGACGUUCCCCAUCCAACCUGACAGAUUUUGAGAGGAUAUGCAGAGAAGAAUGGGAGAAACUCCGCCAAAUACAGGUCAUUAUUUGGAGGUAUUCAAUCGGAAGCUAAAGAAGAACGAGUUAAUAUUGAAGGAUGGCCUGAAACUGCUUCUACACCUAUGCCAAUCUGCAGAGGACAUGGUCACAGCCAGAGGUGCCAUCUACAGGGUGAUGUUGAAAAAGCACAAUCUAUGUUCGGUCAGAUUAUGAGCACUGACAGCGGAAUAUGUCAACAUCUCAAAGUGCUGAAGCUGGCUAUGGCAGGAGCUGUGAAAUAAUCACUCUCUGUCUUGACCUUAGCAUUGGGAUCCAGCAGCCCUGCAUUUAUAAAGAAGCCUGAAUUCGCACAGGAAGUGGGGACGUAGUGCGUCUUCGGAGCGAGGACAGCCCUCUGAUGGCGAGCGUGGAGCAGGCAGUGCCCACCUCCAGCAGGCAGGUCAGGUGAUCCAACGAAACCUGGACAAGAUGUUGUGUCAUACCCCCAUGGGGAAGAAGAGGAUGCCCAUGGGGAUAAUGGACGAGAGAAGGAUCAGCCAGAGGACUCUGAGGCCUCUGCAGUCCACUCUGUUGUCAGAGUGAAUGGGACUAGGUGUAUCUCUCAGCGUGUUUGAGGGGAUCAAGGUGAGGCGCAGAAUUGUGAAUCUUGAUCAAGUACUGAGUUGGUUUUUGGGAGGGGAUUUGCAGAUCAGUGAUUCUGCGCAGUCCGAGUGCAAUGUAGUCGAUUUUAAACAAACAUUGUUUCAUUCUAAACUCUGCCUUAAUUGUACCAGUCCCUGUCACAGCCAUGGGGGUCUGCUCUCACACCACCCAAGCAAGGCUGAACAGAGAUGCGCUCUCUCCCUACACCCAGACCUGGACUUUAUAGAGACAUAUAGUGUACCAUUCAGUGCAAUGUACCUCUCCUCUCAGCCAGAGACCCUUCUGUAUUCCUCCUUUUUGAUAUUCUUCACCCGUUCACAUGCAAUGGUACAGGUAUACUAGUUGGUUCCACGUCUGGGGAGCCCCUUCAGAGCAUUUCAGACUUUUAACUGCUGACUGUGAAAAGGUUUGUUGAAUCCAAGGGACACCAAUGUGUGCAAAAGUAGAAUGUAAUGGUGUAUGUGAGACACAUCUGUAUAAACAUGUAAUUAUUUGUGAUUUAUAGGGUAAUACAUAUUGAAUGAAAUAAAAGCUGAUGUUGUAGAA